CUAAACUUCUCAACAAUUUUAGUCGCACCACCCUCUUGCUCUCUCUAAACUUAGCCACCUUCAUAGCCAGCGCCAUCGACAACGAUGGCUUUUACAGCUGCUGAAAUUUCCAAGCUCUCCGCACCAAUGCCGGUGACAAUCAAGCUGUCCGCACCACCACCACAGAGAACCACAGCAGCCGCCGAGAACCAACCAGUCGUCCGCACCACCGCCGCCGAGAACCACAGUAGCUGCCGACAAUCAACCAGUCGUCCGCUUAUGUUGGAUUUGCUGACAGUGAACUUCUCAUUGGUGACGCUGCUAAGAAUCAGGUCGCCAUGAUUCCGAUCAAAACUAUUUUCGGUAAGUGUUCGAUCUAUUUUCCCCAUCUAAUCCUCGCUUGUAUGUAUAUUUGGUGCUGUUUUACGUAAUGUCAUUAUUGAUGAGAUCAGGUUUGAUGAAAAACGUGAUGUGAUAUUUGUUUAGCUUGGUUUGUAUUAGCUGUUGCUUCCAGUGUUGUUUAUUUCCAGUGAGAAUGAGAACAAUUGUAACUUAAAUUUGAUUUGGCUCGAAAACUAUUUAAAUUGACUCCGAAACGUGACAAGUAAAAAAAAGUGGGCAUACCUUAAUAAAAAGCAUGUAGAAAAAUGUAAUAUAUGGAUACAUACUAUAAUCUGUUUUGUGAAUUAGUUCAGAGGUAGGUAUGUUGAUCUAAUCUUGGAAAUAAAACGUAGUGAGCCUAUAAGCUCAUUAUGUGCACUAUGAUUAGUCGAUUAGUUAUGCAAUGUGACAUGAGAUGGGAACAUCUUUUGUUAUUAGAAACCUAAAGUACGAGCCCGGUUUGCCUUAUACCUCAUGAGAAUUUGACUUAAUACAGUGCAUCAAUGAGUAUUGAGGGUGUUUGAAUUUAAUUUGAUUUGUAAUAUAGGUUUGGUCAUUGGUGUGACUAAUGUUGAUUCUUAUUGGUGAUAUUGAAUUUAUGUUUUUGGCACCACAACAGCCGCGGAGACGGUUAAGUGUAGUGUUUUGAAAUGUGAAAUAGUGACUUCAAAUUGAUCAAGUGUAGUCACUUGAGAAGUGAAUUAGUGACUUGAAAAUAGUUAAGUUUAGUCACUUGAGAAGUGAAUUAGAGAGUUGAAAAUGGUUAAGUGUAGUGUUUUGAAAUGAGUACUAGUGACUUCAAAUUAAUCACGUGUGUAGUCACUUGAAAUGUAAAUUAGAGAGUUGAAAAUGGUUAAGUGUUGUGUUUUGAAAUGUGUACUAGUGACUUCAAAUUGAUCAAGUGUGUAGUCACUUGACAUGUGAAUUCACGACUUGAAAAUGAUUAAGUUUAGUCACUUGAAAUGUGAAUUAGAGAGUUGAAAAUUGUUAAGUGUAGUGUUUGAAAUGUGUACUAGUGACUUCAAAUUGAUCAAGUGUAGUCACUUGAGAAGUGAAUCAGUGACUUGAAAAUGAUUUUGUGUAGUUACUUGAAAGGUAAACUUGUGUUUUGAAAUUAGUAAAGUGUAAUUUCUUGAAAGUAUGAAUUCAUGACUUGAAAUCGAUUUAGUGUUGUCACGUGAAAUGUGAAUUCAUGACGUAAAAAUGGUUAAGUUUAGUUACUUGAGAAGUGAAUUAGAGAGUUGAAAAUGGUUAAGUGUAGUGUUUUUAAAUGUGUACUAGUGACUUCAAAUUGAUCAAGUGUAGUCACUUGAGAAGUGAAUUAGUGACUUGAAAAUGAUUAAGUUUAGUCAUUUGAGAAUUGAAUUAGAGAGUUGAAAAUGGUUAGGUGUAGUGUUUUAAAAUGUGUACUAGUGACUUCAAAUUGAUCAAGUGUGUAGUCACUUGAAUGGAAAUUAGAGAGUUGAAAAUGGUUUAGUGUUUUUAAAUGUGUACUAGUGACUUCAAAUUGAUCAAGUGUGUAGUUACUUGAAAUGUGAGUUCAUGAUUUGAAAAUGGUUAGUUUAGUCACUUGAAAUAUGAAUUAGAGAGUUGAAAAUUGUUAAGUGUAGUGUUUUGAAAUGUGUACUACUGACUUCAAAUUGAUCAAGUGUAGUCACUUGAGAAGUAAAUUAGUAACUUGAAAAUGGUUUAGUAUAGUUACUUUAAAGAUGAACUUGUGUUUUGAAAUUUGUAAAGUGUAGUCAUUUGAAAAUGUGAAUUCAUGACUUGAAAUUGGUUUAGUGUUGUCACUUGAAAUGUGAAUUCAUGACUUGAAAAUGGUUUAACAUUGUCACUUGAAAUGUAAAUUCAUGACUUGAAAAUGGUUAGGUGUAGUGUUUUGAAAUGUGUACUAGUAAAUUCAAAAUGAUCAAGUCACCUCCACCUCCACCUCCUCCUGUAAAAGAAGAUACUGAUUCAGAUUUGAUUGGUCUAGUUUCCGGAGAUACGAACAUGCUUGGUAGAGUUUUUAUUGAGCCUAAUGGAUCUUCAUAAGUUUAUUUUUCAAUUUAUAUAUAUAUAUAUAUAUAUAUAUAUGUAUAUAUAUAUGUGUGUGUAUAUAUAUAUAUCAUAUAACACUAGUCAAUUGAUUUUUUGACAAUGUGUUGUUGGUUGGCAAAACACUAUCAAGCUAUUUCUACAAUUUUUGAGAGACAUGUUGCUAUGUCACAACAGAUUGACAUCUUAGACGUGUCUUGGCACAGAUCGUUGGUCCUAAUUCAAUUAGCAAAGAGGAGACAAAGAGUGAUGAGGAGUAUGUUGGGGCUACUCCUUAGUGUUGUUGGACUUGACUUUUAGAUAAGUUUUAGAUAUUUUUGAACUUAGUUUUUUAUUAGUGAAAAAUCUUUAGGAGUGUUUAAGUAUUUUGAAUAUUGUUGGAUUGAUUGUUUAAAUGUCUUGGAUGUCGUUGGAUUGAUUGUUUAAAUGUUGUUGAUUUGAAUUGCUUAAAUGAUUUGUUGAUGUAGUGUGUUGUAUGAUUAUUGUAAUAAUGUGUGUUGCACGAGGAUGUAUAUAUUGAAUUAUAUUUUUAUUUGGCAGGUGGGGUGUAGAAAAUGCAGAUUUCUGCAACCAAAAAAAUGUAGAAAAGCGAUGGACAAGGUCCUUUUUGUCCGUCGCUUUUUUGAAAUACAUUUCCAGAAAUGGGACGCUUUGCAUCACUUUUUAAAUUAGUAAUUUAUUUUUAAAAAGAAAAACGACGAUGUCCGUCACUUUUUUAUUCAUUAUGAAGAACAAAGCGAUGACCAACAUCACUUUUUAUUCAUCCCCAACUGGCUAACCAACUGAUGCUUGGGACACUCUCUACUAAAAUGAUAAUCCUUUUUGCCAUAUAACAUAUCUUAGGAGCUCUAGAAUGGCAAAGAACGUGUGUUGACCCUGCUUGAACAACCUAUUCAUGCCCGAGGUGCUCCCCAGAUCAAUGACCAACCUCUCUAUGUUGAUCCCUGCUGGGCGAAUCUCUACCCUCCGACGGAGCACCACUAACACUAAAUUGCUAACAUAGACUCUUACUCCCACCUCCAGAUGUCUUAAUAUAUGCCCUCUCUAUUUUUCUCACAUGAGGGAAAUACGACCCAGCUACUAUCAAAUUCUUCAACGCCAAGCAGGAGUGGCAAAGUUAAUCCUCUAACAAAUCCACACACCAAAUCGUGCUUUGAAGGAUAUAGUAUAGGAGUAUGUCUAGACCACUCAAAAAAUCCAAUCUCAUACUCUGAACAAACAGAGAACCUUGUUGAACACCAAUAAAUCUAACUUUGGUUUGAGAACCACUCAUACACCAGACAUUAUCUCUAGUUAUCCACUAAAAUACUCAGAUUCCCUAACACUCUAUCCUAAGAACUAAGGCAGUCACAAAUUCUAUUAGAGCCUGGACUGGACCCAAUUUUCUAGUUGACGAUGAAGAUCUUUGACAUUUAUCUCUAACACCCUAGCCUAAUAUUGUGCUGAAACUUUAGAAACACGUGCGAAAGUCUCAUCCGCAUCUACCGACAACCUUAUGCUAUCUAUUCUAGGAAAAAGUUGAGGUAAAAGAAGUACUAAAGGUUCAUAGAAGUACUAAUACAUGAUAAGGAGUCAAGAAUCAAAUUUUGUAAAAAUGCCAUGUAGCCUCUCGAAGAUAAAAUAUAGAUAUCUCUGUACCAAUCCGCAGGACUCUACUAGACACCUAGCUCUUGUAUCAAUAAAUUGAUAAACCUAGGCUCUGACACUAAUUUGUCAUGACGUAAUUUCUCAUGUCAUGAUAACACAUAUUAUAACCCAUAAGUAGGUAAGCCAUCAUAUAGUCUGAAAUAGAUAAUAACGAACAAAUAAGAAAGACAAAAGUAACACUAAUUAACAAAGAGCAAAAAAGCAAGAAGAAGGUAAUAAUAUUCCUGAAACCUAGUAAAAUCAGUACAAGAGCUUCAAAUACAAUAGGAGUAUAAGUAAAAUACAAAAGAAAUAUAUAUACAAAGAUUUCUCUAAAUACAAAAUAGAGAUUAGUCUAACAAUGAGAGGAAAAAUAAAAAUACUCCAAAUAUUAAGAGCUCAGCCUGCCUCUUCGAUCUGUGGUUACUCUACACGAUGCACACUAUAACAGAAAAAACCCGUACUAUGAUUUGCAAACUACAAAAGUGUAGUAUGAGCACCAAAUAUGUGGUACUCAAUAAGCAUAAGCUGACUGAGCUCCAAAGAUAAUGUAAGUAUAAAUAAUAGUUAAAGCAAGAAUAUAAACUACAAGCAACUAUCUAGGAAACUAAGCAUAAUCAUGCUAAUGAAAAAUAAAGGUAAACUAUCCUAUUCUAAUAGUAAUUAGGGACUAAUCAUGCAAUACCAUAUAUCACUAGCCAAUAUAAAAAUGAAGAGCGAAAGAAGGAUAUAUGGUAGUAAUACCAGUCCAAAGGAUACAUAUGCAAUAUGAAUAUAUAAAAAAGAGAAGUAUAUAUAGUAAUACCAUAUAUACAUACAUGUAUAUACAUAUAAAAGACUAACUCAAUGAUAAUAACUUGAGUGAAUCAAUCGAACAUCACGAGGAUCGUAGCCAAGAAGGAAAUCUAAUACUAGCAUAAUCAGGGUCGCUAACAAAAGGAUGACUAAACAUGAGAUAAUACAACAAUAAUAUAUCUUAAUAUAAAAAAGAAAAGGAAUCAGAAAUGUACCAACAACCUCAGAACUAGUCCAUAAUCACCCUUCCAUGAAUUAACUAGAAUGACCAAUAAUAAAGUAACUAGCUAGUAUAGACAAACAAUAACCUAAUCGGGCCUCCAUAAGCCCGAAAAAUGCAAUCAAACAUUCAGCAAACAACAACCAAUACUUAUACCUUUACAACCCCCUAAAAGGUCGAUAGAUAUAAGCACUAAACAAUAUACUGGCCAUAGGCAAUGCAUAUGAAUGAAUGAAUGCACAUAAAUAAAUAGUAACCCAUAUCUAAUUCAAGUGCCAAAUGUACCAAGUGUAUACACCUCCUACAACUUAGUAGCUCACAAAUACAGGACCUAUGGAGACCAUCCUUCCUUGUCACUAUGGCUCACGGAUGAAGGAGCCCAUAGAGAACGGGAAAUAUUUGUAUACAUUGCAUGGUCCCAAACUAGGACUUCAAAUAAC
rnacentral:lncRNA from 1 species